AAGCGAGGAGGGAAGAAGAGAGAAGAAAGAGAAGAAACGAGUUUCCAACGACUUUGGCUCUGUCUGUUUCUUUCUUUUUCUUCCUCUUCCUCUCUUCAAAAAUCUUUCUUCCCCUCUUUCUCUUUCUCU
rnacentral:ribozyme from 13 species